AGUAGAUGAAUUUUCAUUAUUCAUUUAUGUGAUUUCGUGAAAAUUUGAGACAGUUGCAUGUGAAUCAAAGAUACUAGUAAUAUGUUUUUUUCAAAUUUUUCGUUACAUCUACUUUGCAUUUUCACCGCAUAUUUUUUAAUGGAGGAAGAAGAUGAGUGGGGGUGGGGCCCAUGCGGGUCACCUCCCCCACCCCCUUUUUAUUUGUUUUUCUUUUGUUUUAUUGUCAUUUUUAUUUUUAAUAUAUGAUUGAGC
rnacentral:lncRNA from 1 species